UGCUCUGUGCCCCCGCCCCCUUUCUUUCUUUUUUUUCUUUUCUAGGACUACCCCUCCAUGGUCUGGAGCACAGUAAUUAUAGCAGUUGCAGUUGUUGAAUGCUUACUAAAUGCCAAGGGUCAUGCUGAUUGAUGGGCUUACAUUAUCUCAUUUCAUCCUUACCCCUAUUCCUAAGAUAGAUAGGUAUCAUCUCUGUUUUACAGGUAGGACACCAGAAACUUGGAAAGGGAAUGAAGGGGAGAAAGUGACAGAGCUGGGAUUUGAACCAGAACUCGAGACAUUUAGUAUGUGGCUAUGUUGACUCCUGGGACUUAAUAAUAACAACAAUAAUAAAAGCUAAUAUGUUUA